rnacentral:rRNA from 1 species
UGGGGAAUAUUGCACAAUGGAGGAAACUCUGAUGCAGCGACGCCGCGUGAGGGAAGAAGGUUUUCGGAUUGUAAACCUCUGUCUUUAGGGAAGAUUAUGACGGUACCUAAGGAGGAAGCCACGGCUAACUACGUGCCAGCAGCCGCGGUAAUACGUAGGUGGCAAGCGUUGUCCGGAAUUACUGGGUGUAAAGGGAGCGUAGGCGGGUAAUCAAGUUGAAUGUGAAAUUUAUGGGCUCAACCCAUAAGCUGCGUUCAAAACUGAAUAUCUUGAGUGAAGUAGAGGCAAGCGGAAUUCCUAGUGUAGCGGUGAAAUGCGUAGAUAUUAGGAGGAACACCAGUGGCGAAGGCGGCUUGCUGGGCUUUUACUGACGCUGAGGCUCGAAAGCGUGGGGAGCAAACA